CGAAAGCCUGACGGAGCAAUACCGCGUGAGGGAGGAAGGCUCUUGGGUUGUAAACCUCUUUUCUCAAGGAAUAAGUUCUGAAGGUACUUGAGGAAUAAGCAUCGGCUAACUCCGUGCCAGCAGCCGCGGUAAUACGGAGGAUGCAAGCGUUAUCCGGAAUGAUUGGGCGUAAAGCGUCCGCAGGUGGCUGUGUAAGUCUGCUGUUAAAGAGUCUAGCUUAACUAGAUAAAAGCAGUGGAAACUACAUAGCUAGAGUGCGUUCGGGGUAGAGGGAAUUCCUGGUGUAGCGGUGAAAUGCGUAGAGAUCAGGAAGAACACCGGUGGCGAAGGCGCUCUACUAGGCCGCAACUGACACUGAGGGACGAAAGCUAGGGGAGCGAAUGGGAUUAGAUACCCCAGUAGUCCUAGCCGUAAACGAUGGAUACUAGGCGUUGCGAGUAUCGACCCUCGCAGUGCCGGAGCCAACGCGUUAAGUAUCCCGCCUGGGGAGUACGCACGCAAGUGUG
rnacentral:rRNA from 1 species